rnacentral:rRNA from 1 species
AACGAACGCUGGCGGCAUGCCUAACACAUGCAAGUCGAACGAGACCUUCGGGUCUAGUGGCGCACGGGUGCGUAACGCGUGGGAACCUGCCCUUAGGUUCGGAAUAACUCCCCGAAAGGGGUGCUAAUACCGGAUAAUGUCUUCGGACCAAAGAUUUAUCGCCUUUGGAUGGGCCCGCGUUGGAUUAGCUAGUUGGUAGGGUAAAAGCCUACCAAGGCGACGAUCCAUAGCUGGUCUGAGAGGAUGAUCAGCCACACUGGGACUGGGACCCGGCCCAGACCCCUAGGGGGGGAAGCAGUGGGGAAAAUUGGAAAGGGGGCGAAGGCCUGAUCCAGCAAGGCCGGGUGAGUGAUGAAGGCCUUGGGGUUGAAAAGCUCUUUUACCCGGGAGGAUAAUGACGGUACCGGGAGAAAAAGCCCCGGCUAACCCCGG